rnacentral:lncRNA from 1 species
UGCCAUCGAGCAGGCCAUGGUGACGGCCAGAUCCACGCGUGCUCAUCAAGGUUCGACCUUGGUAAGUGCCAACCCCAUCCCCGUAUCGGCGCCGCUGGUUUCAGGUUCAGAAAAUUUUGUGUUCUCUAUUCGAUUUAGAUUCCCCUGCUUGAUUCAGGUUCAGCCCCGUCCCCGCACCAUGGAGCUCUGAUCCCACACCUGCCGCACCUCGGCAGAAUCCCCGGAGGACGACCGCCGCUCCUCCUUAACAUCGCUCCUCCUUCAUGUCCAAGUGUCCAAGUGUUGUGCGGGUCUGCAAGUCCUCCUCGUUUCCAAGUCUGAUUUUUUUAUCUUUUUGGUCUGAUUAUUAUAUGGUCUGAUUUAUUUAUCUCUGAAAUUUUGAUGCAUGAAAUACUGUAAGUUUGUAGCCUUGAAACUGUCUUGCAUUUGGUUCGAUCGAAGGAUUAUGAUAAAUUUGUUUGUCUGCCUGCAUUUCUGAUAAUGUUACUUCUUUGUGCAGUUUGAGAAAGCUUAGAUGAGCUUGUGUCUGCUAUUGAAUACAGAUUAGAAACAACAAACUCUGUAGUUUAUGAGAGCUGAGAAAGAACUCUGUCGACACUGCUAGAUUCAGUUAAACUCUGUAGGCUACAUUCAGUUUCUUUACAACAUAAAAAUGCUUUAGACUGCUAGAUUCAGUAUAGUGAUAAUCUAAGCUUCACACUGCAUAAAAUGCUUCUUUUGCUGUGAUAAAAUGCUUGUUUUGACAUAUAUACUCUGAAUAUUUUUGCCUCUCCAUUGAAACACUCACAAAACUGAUUGCCGCCGUCGGGUCGGGUUCGUGGCAGUCUGAUCCCAGUGAUACUGAACACUGAACCUUUAUUCCAGUGAAACCACAAUGACAAUGUUAGUACAGUGCAUAAAAACUGAACCUUUAAUCCCAGUUCAGUAGUGUGAGCACUAUAUCAACUGUUAGUUUUUGAGAUGACUUGCCCAUGCCCAUGCCUUUGUUUUGUUAACUUAAUUUUAGUUAAUUAACAAAUGUUUCAAUACUUUCCUUGUUUUAAGUUACUGCUAUGGAAGUAACUUAACUUGGCCAUGCCCAUAUCAUUUCAGUUAAUCAUGCAUGCCUAGUCGAUGGCAGCUGCUGCGGAAGUCGACCCCGACGACGACGGCUCCUCCUCAACAUCCUAGGCUCCUCCUCCAUGUCCAAAUGCCUAAGUACCCAAGUGCUCAUUUGCCUCGUGCCCAAGUGCUCUAAAAGUAUGC